rnacentral:rRNA from 1 species
GACGAACGCUGGCGGCGUGCCUAAUACAUGCCAGUCGAACGAACCGCGACUAGGUGCUUGCACUUGGUCAAGGUGAGUGGCGAACGGGUGAGUAACACGUGGGUAACCUACCUCAUAGUGGGGGAUAACAGUCGGAAACGACUGCUAAUACCGCAUAGGACAUAGGAUCACAUGAUCCAGUGAGGAAAGGUGGCGCAAGCUAUCGCUAAGAGAUGGACCCGCGGUGCAUUAGCUAGUUGGUAGGGUAAAGGCCUACCAAGGCGAUGAUGCAUAGCCGACCUGAGAGGGUGAUCGGCCACAUUGGGACUGAGACACGGCCCAAACUCCUACGGGAGGCAGCAGUAGGGAAUCUUCCGCAAUGGACGCAAGUCUGACGGAGCAACGCCGCGUGAGUGAAGAAGGUCUUCGGAUCGUAAAGCUCUGCUGUUAGAGAAGAACAGCGCAUAGAGUAACUGUUAUGCGUGUGACGGUAUCUAACCAGAAAGCCACGGCUAACUACGUG